rnacentral:rRNA from 1 species
GUGGCGAGACGGGUGAGUAAUGUCUGGGAAACUGCCCGAUGGAGGGGGAUAACUACUGGAAACGGUAGCUAAUACCGCAUAAUGUCGCAAGACCAAAGAGGGGGACCUUCGGGCCUCUUGCCAUCAGAUGUGCCCAGAUGGGAUUAGCUUGUUGGUGAGGUAACGGCUCACCAAGGCGACGAUCCCUAGCUGGUCUGAGAGGAUGACCAGCCACACUGGAACUGAGACACGGUCCAGACUCCUACGGGAGGCAGCAGUGGGGAAUAUUGCACAAUGGGCGCAAGCCUGAUGCAGCCAUGCCGCGUGUAUGAAGAAGGCCUUCGGGUUGUAAAGUACUUUCAGCGGGGAGGAAGGAGUUAAGGUUAAUAACCUCAGCGAUUGACGUUACCCGCAGAAGAAGCACCGGCUAACUCCGUGCCAGCAGCCGCGGUAAUACGGAGGGUGCAAGCGUUAAUCGGAAUUACUGGGCGUAAAGCGCACGCAGGCGGUCUGUCAAGUCGGAUGUGAAAUCCCCGGGCUCAACCUGGGAACUGCAUUCGAAACUGGCAGGCUUGAGUCUCGUAGAGGGGGGUAGAAUUCCAGGUGUAGCGGUGAAAUGCGUAGAGAUCUGGAGGAAUACCGGUGGCGAAGGCGGCCCCCUGGACGAAGACUA